AAAACAGCAAACCCUAAGUGUGGAGCAUUGAUGGUUCCCCCGAGCAGUUAACCCUCAGUUAUCCCCAGCCAAGUUGGUCGAUUCAGUUCCCAUGCGGAGUGUUUGUCCCCAGUGGAGUUUAUGCAUAAGUUCCUGGCAGAAUUGCUGAUUACCCAACCAAUUUUGAUCUCCACCAGAGUGAGGAGGGUUUCCUCAGUGGUUUACAUAGAACCAUGGUUUCCCCAUUAGUUGCCAUCCGGCUCACCCCCAGUCAGAGUUUCCU
rnacentral:lncRNA from 1 species